rnacentral:rRNA from 1 species
UGGGGAAUAUUGGACAAUGGGCGAAAGCCUGAUCCAGCAAUGCCGCGUGUGUGAAGAAGGCCUGCGGGUUGUAAAGCACUUUCAUCAGGGACGAAAAACCCGGGGCGAAUACCCCCGGGCCUUGACUUAACCUGAACAAGAAGCACCGGCUAACUCCGUGCCAGCAGCCGCGGUAAUACGGAGGGUGCGAGCGUUAAUCGGAAUUACUGGGCGUAAAGCGCACGUAGGAGGCGAGAUCAGUCAGAUGUGAAAUCCCCGGGCUCAACCUGGGAAUUGCAUUUGAUACUGUCUUGCUAGAGUCUGGCAGAGGUAAGCGGAAUUCCGGGUGUAGCGGUGGAAUGCGUAGAUAUCCGGAAGAACACCAGUGGCGAAGGCGGCUUACUGGGCCAAGACUGACUCUGAGGUGCGAAAGCGUGGGGAGCGAACAGGAUUAGAUACCCCCGUAGUCC